GCAAGUCGAACGAGAAAGCACUUCGGUGUGAGUACAGUGGCGCACGGGUGAGUAACGCGAAGGUAACAUGCCUUAUAGCGGGGGACAACAUCGUGAAAACGGUGCUAAUACCGCAUAAGCUCGCAAGAGGAAAGGUGGCUUCGGCUAUCGCUAUAAGAUUGGCCUGCGUGACAUUAGCUUGUUGGUGGGGUAAUGGCCUACCAUGGCGACGAUGUCUAGCUGGUCUGAGAGGAUGAUC
rnacentral:rRNA from 1 species